rnacentral:rRNA from 1 species
GACGAACGCUGGCGGCGUGCCUAAUACAUGCAAGUAGAACGAGUUGCGAACGGGUGAGUAACGCGUGGUAACCUGCCUCAUAGCGGGGGAUAACUAUUGGGAAAGAUAGCUCAUACCGCAUACUGUGAGAUGGACGUGCGUUGAAGUAGCUAGUAGGUGGGGUAACGGCUCACCUAGGCGACGAUCCCUAGCUGGUCUGAGAGGAUGACCAGGCACACUGGAACUGAGACACGGUCCAGACUCCUACGGGAGGCAGCAGUGGGGAAUAUGGCACAAUGGGCGCAAGCCUGAUGCAGCCAGGCCGCGUGUAUGAAGAAGGCCGUCGGGUUGUAAAGUACUUUCAGCGAGGAGGCGUUACUCGCAGAAGAAGCACCGGCUAACUCCGUGCCAGCAGCCGCGGUAAUUC